rnacentral:tRNA from 1 species
AGCGAGGUGCCUGAAAAAGGCUAAUUUUGAUAGAAUUAAAAAUGCAGGCAGCCCUGCUCUCGCUU